rnacentral:rRNA from 1 species
AGCGCCCUACGGGAGGCAGCAGUGAGGAAUAUUGGUCAAUGGGCGUAAGCCUGAACCAGCCAAGUCGCGUGAGGGACGACGGCCCUACGGGUUGUAAACCUCUUUUGCCGGGGGACAAACGGCGGCACGCGUGCCGUCCUGAGGGUACCCGGAGAAAAAGCAUCGGCUAACUCCGUGCCAGCAGCCGCGGUAAUACGGAGGAUGCGAGCGUUAUCCGGAUUUAUUGGGUUUAAAGGGUGCGUAGGCGGGAGGCCAGGUCAGCGGUCAAAUACGGGGGCUCAACCUGCGUCCGC